rnacentral:tRNA from 1 species
GACCGUGUAGCUCAGUUGGUUAGAGCGUGGUGCUAAUACCGAUUACUGGAUAACGCCAAGGCCGCGAGUUCGACCCUCGUCAUGGUCA